GGUGCAUGCAAUUCACCUGAGUGACUGGAAGGGCUGAAGCCAGGAUCCACCCCUUCUGAGACCUCAUUUAAGGGCUGGCAGUAGAGACAAGGGUAUCUUGUUGGAGAUCCCUGUGUACCUGAGGCCUUCUGAAGGUAAGCUGCUUCUUUCUUUUGUUUUUGUGCACAUUGCUGUUGCAUUUGGGUAAAUCCUCUCUUGUUGCAGCCUGGGGCCUUAUUACUCUUUUGUCAUUGCUGCGUUUUCCAUUGUGUUACAGUGACCUGGUGUGUAUCUUUGGAUUUGCACUACAAUUGGUCUCCUUUCUAAGCAGUGGUGCUACAGACCUUCUAAACAUGACCUCUAGUAGCAAGAGUACAGCCCGAUCAAUUGUCCAUUGACUUUCACAGGUGAUGCUUUCAGCCAGUUUAAGUCUCUGUUUGCUACAUCCCAAGUGAAGCUGCACAAGCAAUUCAGACAAUAGAGUUGUUUGGUAAUUCUGCUGAAUAAAAAAAAAAAAAAAAAAAAUGGGGGGAAGCA
rnacentral:lncRNA from 1 species